UGUGCCAGCCGCGGCGGUAAUACGUAGGUGGCAAGCGUUGUCUGGAAUUAUUGGGCGUAAAGGGCUCGCAGGCGGUUUCUUAAGUCUGAUGUGAAAGCCCCCGGCUCAACCGGGGAGGGUCAUUGGAAACUGGGAAACUUGAGUGCAGAAGAGGAGAGUGGAAUUCCACGUGUAGCGGUGAAAUGCGUAGAGAUGUGGAGGAACACCAGUGGCGAAGGCGACUCUYUGGUCUGUAACUGACGCUGAGGAGCGAAAGCGUGGGGAGCGAACAGGAUUAGAUACCCUGGUAGUCCMCGCCGUAAACGAUGAGUGCUAAGUGUUAGGGGGUUUCCGCCCCUUAGUGCUGCAGCUAACGCAUUAAGCACUCCGCCUGGGGAGUACGGUCGCAAGACUGAAACUCAAAGGAAUUGACGGGGGCCCGCACAAGCGGUGGAGCAUGUGGUUUAAUUCGAAGCAACGCGAAGAACCUUACCAGGUCUUGACAUCCUCUGACAACCCUAGAGAUAGGGCUUUCCCUUCGGGGACAGAGUGACAGGUGGUGCAUGGUUGUCGUCAGCUCGUGUCGUGAGAUGUUGGGUUAAGUCCCGCAACGACCGCAACCC
rnacentral:rRNA from 1 species